rnacentral:rRNA from 1 species
UACGGAGGGUGCAAGCGUUGUCCGGAAUUACUGGGCGUAAAGAGCUCGUAGGUGGUUUGUCGCGUUGUUCGUGAAAUCUCACGGCUUAACUGUGAGCGUGCGGGCGAUACGGGCAGACUGGAGUACUGCAGGGGAGACUGGAAUUCCUGGUGUAGCGGUGGAAUGCGCAGAUAUCAGGAGGAACACCGGUGGCGAAGGCGGGUCUCUGGGCAGUAACUGACGCUGAGGAGCGAAAGCGUGGGGAGCGAACAGG